GAAAGCUUAGCUGGCUCCCACUCACAUCUCAUCUCUCUCAAAUCCCUAAAUCACUUCCAUAAACCUAAGUCUGCAGAUUUCCCUCAAAGGCUAUGAACGACAGCAUGUAUACUAAAAUCAGAGCUAUAUAUUUCUACUCUUUCACUCUUUCAUCUCUGUCACAGUAGGUUUGAAACCCGUUUGUGCAGGUUUGGGGAGAAAAUCAAACUAGGAAUGGACGACUAUCUUACCCAAAGUAAGCACACUUUAUUUCUCUAUAUAUAUCCUAUGAGACAAUCUUUACUUAUUACUCCUCAUCUGGGUUUUUGUUAUAUCUAGCUUUUCUAAUGUAUUUUUGUCUUUGUGCUUCUAUUUUGUGGUUGCUCAGCAAGAUUUUGUACAAUCAGUUUCUUUUCAAGAUUGUGUUUUCUUGCGUGUCCUCUUUUUGAAUUGUUUGUAAAA
rnacentral:lncRNA from 1 species